UACAAUGGAGAGUUUGAUCCUGGCUCAGGAUGAACGCUAGCGGGAGGCCUAACACAUGCAAGCCGAGCGGUAUUGUUUCUUCGGAAACGAGAGAGCGGCGCACGGGUGCGGAACACGUGUGCAACCUGCCUUUAUCUGGGGGAUAGCCUUUCGAAAGGAAGAUUAAUACCCCAUAAUAUUUUGGAUGGCAUCAUUUAAAAUUGAAAACUCCGGUGGAUAGAGAUGGGCACGCGCAAGAUUAGAUAGUUGGUAGGGUAACGGCCUACCAAGUCAGUGAUCUUUAGGGGGCCUGAGAGGGUGAUCCCCCACACUGGUACUGAGACACGGACCAGACUCCUACGGGAGGCAGCAGUGAGGAAUAUUGGACAAUGGGUGAGAGCCUGAUCCAGCCAUCCCGCGUGAAGGACGACGGCCCUAUGGGUUGUAAACUUCUUUUGUACAGGGAUAAACCUUU
rnacentral:rRNA from 1 species